rnacentral:tRNA from 1 species
CCUCUGGUAGCUCAGUUGGUAGAGCGGUGGACUGUAGAUCCAUAGGUCCGCUGGUUCAAAUCCGGCCCAGAGGA